rnacentral:lncRNA from 1 species
UUAGUUUGGUUUCUUGAUGAGGGCAUGGCUGUACAAAGGCUAGUUCAUAGCCAUGUGCGCCUGCCCAAGGACAUGGCGACUUUCAUUGAACAAUACAUGUGAGAUAGUGAGAUGGGCUUGCGUGGUAGAGAAGACAAAUAGUCACAUUUCGCCUCAACAAUCUCAUGGAAAAAGCCUCAUCAAUUCUAUUCUUUUAGGGUAUGUUGAUGAUGUUUAUGAGUCAUUGUUAAUUGUUCUUUUUUUUUUUUUUUUUUUUUUUUAUAUUUGAUAAUUGUGGAUAUUGGGUCCUGAAAUUAACGACCGGAUAAAACCUCCAGUGGCCCUGAGGGGACUCGAACUGGUGACCAUUGAGGAGCAAACCCAAGGCCGGACCAACUGAGCUACCCCUUAGGGUUAUUAUUAAUUGUUCUUAAAU